AGAAUCAACGCUGGCGGCGUGCCUAACACAUGCAAGUCGCACGAGAAAGGGACUUCGGUCCUGAGUACAGUGGCGCACGGGUGAGUAACACGUGAAUCAUCUACCUCCGAGUGGGGAAUAACUGAGAGAAAUCUUAGCUAAUACCGCAUAACACUUACGAGUCAAAGCAGCAAUGCGCUUGGAGAGGAGUUCGCGGCAGAUUAGUUAGUUGGCGGGGUAAUGGCCCACCAAGACGAUGAUCUGUAUCCGGCCUGAGAGGGCGCACGGACACACUGGAACUGAAACACGGUCCAGACUCCUACGGGAGGCAGCAGUGGGGAAUUUUGCGCAAUGGGGGAAACCCUGACGCAGCAACGCCGCGUGGAGGAUGAAAUCCCUUGGGAUGUAAACUCCUUUCGAUAGGGAAGAUAAUGACGGUACCUAUAGAAGAAGCCCGGCUAACUUCGCGCCAGCAGCCGCGGUAA
rnacentral:rRNA from 1 species